AAGCCACGCAGAAGCAUUGGCUAAUGGAACUAGUCUGGUGGACCCCAUUGUAUGGGUGAAGUUGUGUGAAAGGUGGGGCAGCGAUGCCUUCAAGAAAAUUUCAGCUCAAAAUCGGGAGAACCGAAACAAGCAGGCCAUUAAUCACACAUCAGGACGUAAAUCAUUCGUCCGAUUACUUGAGCAAAAGCGCAAUGAGAAUGAGAAUUUGGUCGACUUCUACAAAGAGACGCGUUGGUCGAAGAAAAAGAAUGCAUUUGUCACAGAUGCUA